rnacentral:lncRNA from 1 species
AUUAAGUAUUAAGUAUUAAGAGUUGCAACACUCUAAUCAAGGAUAUCAAGAGUUGCACUGGUACCCAAGUCUUAUGCAAGCAAUGUGAGUUGCUACAUGAUUUAAGACACCUGCUCACACUACAAUUCUGUUUUCUCAUACUCUAUGCUACAGAAUCUUUGGAAACCACUGCUUCCCCAAACCUGUGCCCUUUGCCAACCUCUUGCUUAAGAAAUUACUGAAACAGUUAAAGAAAACCUAGGAGAAGAAGCAGACUUAAGAACAAAGGAAUCUGGAAACAGGAGAAGAUGAUCAGGACAGACUUCAUAGUGUCCUUGUGAAAAUUUAAUGAGAAGACAUUGCAAAACAUCUAGAGCAAUGGCACAGCAGAUGAUGAAAGGGAUGGGAAACUCCUGGGGAUAGAAGCAGAGGAAUGACAUAACUACAGACAUGCUUGAGAAAGAAUGAGUCCGGCGGACAUGAAGGAGACUGCAGAAAGGCCACUGCAACCCAGAGGGGAGGGGUGGUGACAGUUCCAAUCAGGUCAGUUACAGAAGCUGGGAUAAGAAGGAAGGCAUGGGUUCCAGAGCUUUCCGAAGGAGUCAUUGCAGGACUUCAAUUGCAAGAAUAUCAGGGUUAGGUUGGGGCAGAAAGCACAUCCAAAAAGGAAGACAAAAAUGACAUGGAAAAAACGAUGGCAUAUUGGGCUUUCUAACAGACUGCUUGAUGCUAAAACAGUCUGUCUCACAAUUUUUUUUUAAGAUCACAAACCUCAAAACUAGAGAUUUAUAUGUUUAGA